UCCCUGACCCUGUCCCACUAUGUUUCCAACUCCAUAAUCAGCAGGUCCUGAACCAAGAAUUAUCAGACCAAGAGGAAGUCCUACAAAUCCUGAAAAAAAGCUCAUAAAAGCUCAAUCUGAUAUGAAAGCGUAUGCAGACCGACACUGCGAAGCUCACACAUUCAAACCAGACGACUUUCUUUUUGUGAAGUUAAGGUCAUCAGUUUCCGAAAAACACCUGCAAAAGUAUGCCAAAUGCUACCACAGACCAUUUUAGCUACUGCAGCAAAUCGGAAAAGUAGCAUUCGAACUUGAACUUCCAGCCACUAGUAAAAUACGUUAUGGGAGGAAACCAGACCUGAAAAACCAUUGUAUUAGGUGAUCCAAUUUUAAUCUGUUAAAAAACAUAGUUUCAAACAUAUUUUAUUUAUUCCUUAAAACAUAGUUUUCAUUUGAAACUUUGAGUAAUAAGUAUUUAACUGAAUUAUGAGGUCAAAAUAUAAUAUGGAAUAACCAAAUUAAGCCAACAAGGAAAUGUCUGACUUUUUUCAUUUUUCCAUUUUAGGCAUUCUUGCUACCACGUGAUAAGCACACACAACAUGUGAUUUUUGAACUAUGGAGAGUAUAUGCAUCACAUGGUUUUCUUGAACUUGAACCUUAUUGUCAUUUCACAUUUGCAGACUAUUAUAUACUACAUAGAGAGCAUUUUAGCUGUUACUUGUUGAAGGAAAAAGAGAGAGAAAGAAGCAAGAGAUAAAAACUGAAGAAACGAAUGAGUGAAGUAGUGUGUUAUUUUAAUAGCAUAGCAUAGCGCAGCGUAUAUAUUAUAUGUCCCACAUUGGGAAGAUCAAGUGAAAGAGUGUGAUAGGUUGGUUAUAAAUAAGAAGUUAGUGAUACAGAAAUAGUUACAUACCUGGACGGAGUCUUUGGGUGAUCAAGGAAGCCCAUGACUUAGACUGAUG
rnacentral:lncRNA from 1 species